CACGUAGGCGGAUCGUUAAGUCAGGGGUGAAAUCCCGAGGCUCAACCUCGGAACUGCCUUUGAUACUGGCGAUCUUUGAGUCCGGGAGAGGUGAGUGGAAUUCCGAGUGUAGAGGUGAAAUUCGUAGAUAUUCGGAAGAACACCAGUGGCGAAGGCGGCUCACUGGCCCGGUACUGACGCUGAGGUGCGAAAGCGUGGGGAGCAAACA
rnacentral:rRNA from 1 species